rnacentral:misc_RNA from 1 species
GAUGAAGAACGCAGCGAAAUGCGAUACUUGGUGUGAAUUGCAGAAUCCCGUGAACCAUCGAGUCUUUGAACGCAAGUUGCGCCCGAAGCCAUCAGGUUGAGGGCACGUCUGCCUGGGCGUCACAUAUCGUUGCCCAAUGCCUAUUGCAGUGCAAUAGGAAUUUCUAGGGCGAAUGAUGGCUUCCCGUGAGCGUUGUUGCCUCGCGGUUGGUUGAAAAUCGAGUCCUUGGUAGGGUGUGCCAUGGUAGAUGGUGGUCGAGUUAGAACGAUACCGAUCAUGUGCAUGCUCCCCAAAAUAUGGCCGCUAUGACCCACACGCGUCUUUUGACGCUCAUGACGAGACCUCAGGUCAGGCGGGGCUACCCGCUGAAUUUAAGCAUAUCAAUAAGCGGAGGA